AGCGAACGCUGGCGGCGUACUUAACACAUGCAAGUCGAACGAGGAGCUUCGGUGUAGCAAUACAUCGGAGCUUCUAGUGGCGUACGGGUGAGUAACACGUGGGCAACCUGCCCUUGAGUCCGGGAUACCCUCUCGAAAGGGAGGCUAAUACUGGAUACGUUCUUCGGAUCGCAAGGUCUGGAGAGGAAAGGUAGCGAAAGCUGCCGCUCUUGGAGGGGCUCGCGGCCAUCAGCUAGUUGGUGAGGUCACGGCUCACCAAGGCUAUGACGGGUAGCUGGUCUGAGAGGACGACCAGCCACACGGGAACUGAGACACGGUCCCGACUCCUACGGGAGGCAGCAGUGGGAAUUUCCCGCAAUGGGACGAAAGCCUGACGGAGUGACGCCGCGUGGGGGAUGAAGG
rnacentral:rRNA from 1 species